CCCCCCCCAGUUUCUCUUGUAUGGAAUGAGCUCUUCCUUGGUCACUCGGUUUGAGUUAGAAUGUGUGUGUGAGAAAGGCAAGGAGAAAAAGGAGCUUAGAACUUGACUAGGCUUAAACUUCAGCGUUCAAGUUGGAAUUUAUUGUGGAUCCAUGGUUUUUCUCUGGGCAAUGUGCACAGACAGGACCAACUGAGAGGAUCUGCUGAAUAUAUGAGAUAUGGAGGUUUAUAGGUGCGCAGGGUGGAGAGAGAUCUUGGUUCUCCUAAACCUGCUGGUGUGUGUGGCUGGACUGUCCGGGCGCUGCAGUCUGUUUGGUCGCCAUCAUGUCCACACCUUUGAUGGAGUGGUCUAUGAGUUCCCUGGAGACUGUAGCUAUCUACUGGCGGGAGACUGUCGCCAUCGCGCCUUCACUCUGUUAGGUA